GCAUUUAAAGGUCUGUGGUUGAAAGUCCAUGCCAGUCGCAGGCAAAGGGACCCACGUAAGAUAGUAAAAAAUACAGCUAUUGAGCAUGGUGCGGCUUAGAAGUAAGACCUGCCGACAAAAAGUCGAGAGAGUGAGUAGUGAGGCAACCCCGUAGCGAAAUCUCCAGCAGGCGAGUGUGGGGGCAAAGACCAGGUCAGCUUUAAUGU
rnacentral:ncRNA from 19 species